AAUUGUAAAUUAUGAAGAGAAAAAAAUGCAAUGAAAAAAUUUAGUGUUGUUUUGUUGUUGUUUUUCUUUUUUUCUUUUUAAGUAAAGCUUUUUUGUUAGUGUUUUGUUGUUGUUUGAUGAGAGUGCAUAGAAAUAAAAGAAGGAGAAGCAAUGAGAUUAACCGUUACUUGUUUACACACUUUUGGAAGUGGGCAUUAUAAACUCAUGCUGCGGCAUUUAACAUGUUUGAGGAUCUUAUGCUCAACAUUGUCGUUAAAUACAUCUCUACAUUUGUAAAAACUUCAAAAACACAGCUGUUGAACUACAAAUCGAAAACCAUAACUGCUACUACUGCUGUUGAUGUCUGUAUACUGUUGCAUAUCUAAUAAUAAGACUUGUGGUUUUUAUUUCAAACCAUUUCCAUCAUCAUAAGAUUGUAGAUGGAGAAAACUACAACUAGAACUUUAACUCAAACCAAAACCUUAACUAAAAUUACAAUUAUUGUUUGUAUUAUUGAAGAAGAAAAAAUUGGAUACCCUACACUAGAGUCACGAUGUUUGCAUUCUCAUACCAUUCGGAAUCUUUAUAGAUCGGUGAAAUGAUAUGCCGAUGGAAGUCUAUGUAUUGGUGUGUUAGUCGAGCCUGACGCGCAUAUAGCAGCAACACCCUUGCAGUACGAAAUGACAGUCUGGACCAAGAUAUUUCAAUAAAGCUCAAUUGACAUUUUCCUGAAGUGCAAUAAAAUAAAAAUGUCUCCUUUAUUGUUUACUAGGGGACAGUAAAAUGACGACUGUCCCUUCUCACUCACUUGAAAUACAGAAAAGUGGUGGAUUACAGAGUGUUUUGUAUUUUACGGGUGUAAUAACUCUAUGUCGAACCGCUGAAAUAUCUGAUGUUUUAGAUAUGUCAAAACAUUAUCUUGAUUAUAUGAAAUGAAAGAUUCGUUACUGCCGUGAAAAUCACCUUGAUUUUUGUAUGUAAUUAUUUUUAAAGGCUUAACACAAAUAACUAGAGCCAUAUAUAUAAAAAUACUAAAUGUUAAAGGAAAAAAAGUU